rnacentral:rRNA from 1 species
AACGAACGCUGGCGGCAUGCCUAACACAUGCAAGUCGAACGAGACCUUCGGGUCUAGUGGCGCACGGGUGCGUAACGCGUGGGAAUCUACCCUCAGGUUCGGAAUAACUCAGAGAAAUUUGAGCUAAUACCGGAUGAUGACGUAAGUCCGAAGAUUUAUCGCCUGAGGAUGAGCCCGCUUAGGAUUAGGUAGUUGGUGAGGUAAAGGCUCACCAAGCCGACGAUCCUUAGCUGGUCUGAGAGGAUGAUCAGCCACACUGGGACUGAGACACGGCCCAGACUCCUACGGGAGGCAGCAGUGGGGAAUAUUGGACAAUGGGCGAAAGCCUGAUCCAGCAAUGCCGCGUGAGUGAUGAAGGCCUUAGGGUUGUAAAGCUCUUUUACCCGGGAUGAUAAUGACAGUACCGGGAGAAUAAGCUCCGGCUAACUCCGUG